rnacentral:misc_RNA from 1 species
UUGUUCAAAUAUUUCUCUUUAGAUUUUCUACAAACAAGGUAAAAUAACAAAUUCUAGAAAUUAUCAUAAAAACAUAGAACUUUUGCAUGAUAACAGAGACAUUACUGUCCAUAAUCGUCGAAAGCCUUCCGAAUAAUUGCAGUCGGUUAUUUGGCUAAUUACGGACAAUACGAAGCAAUUAAAAAUGAGGUUCACUUAUUAUCAUAAAUAUCACAAAUAUUUGUAGAACUGGCGCCAGUGCAGUCUUUAUAUGUCUAUUUUAAAUAUGUGAUGCAUAUUAUUCAAUUCUCCCUUGGAGAGGAAAUAUAUUUCAUUCAUUGCAAAAUAUGCAGAAAUAUUCCUCUUUUUUUCAUUAUUUUUCUCUAUAUCCUUCAAUUUUUUCACAACCUUUUUUCUCUUAGUCUUUGGUUUUUACGCUAUUGCUUGAUUUAUUAUAUAUUUGUUUUUCUUCCUUCCCUUUUAAUAAUUUUUAUUGGAUGGGUUUUGUUGGCGUUAAAAUUUCUAAGUGCUUCUUCCUUCUAAAUAAUUUUUUGGUUUCUAUUACGGCAGUAUCCAUUAUAUCUUUAACGCAAUACUUUUGUUUCAUUUAUUUUGAUCGAUACAGAAUUAUUUUAACUACUGUUUCCUAUACAUUGCAAUGUCUACUAUCAGCUGACUAUCGAAUUUAUUUAAGAUAUAAGUAAUUGCUGAAUCGAAAUCUGAUAUUGUUUCUUUAAAUUUAGAAUUCGUAAAACCAGCUUCCUAGAUUUGUCACCGUCAAAUGAAUAAUUUAUAUAAAUUUCUGCAUAAAUAAUGGGGCAAAACUAAAUGUAAGUUAUCAUAUGCAAUAUGCAAAUUGACAUAACUUAAAAAAGAACGAUUGGCUCAACAAAUAUUCUUGAAAACAUAAAAAAAGUACAUAUAAUAUUAUUUUAAAUCAAAUAAUAACGUAUUGAAACUAAAUUUGGCACGAUAUUUUUGUUUACAAAGUUAUAAUACGAAAAUACAACAACAAAAGUAUUUUUAAAAAAUUGUCGAAUAUAUAUUUCGUGACUUACCUUGAAAUGUACACAUAAUCUAUCGCCGAGAAUAUUUUUCU